GGUCGCAUGGUGUAGUUGGUUACCACGUCAGUCUAACGCACUGAAGGUUCGCAGAUCGAGCAUGCGUGUGAUCA